UACGGGGGGGGCAAGCGUUGUUCGGAAUUACUGGGCGUAAAGGGCUCGUAGGCGGCCAACUAAGUCGGAUGUGAAAUCCCCAGGCUUAACCUGGGAACUGCAUCCGAUACUGGAUGGCUUGAAUCCGGGAGAGGGAUGCAGAAUUCCAGGUGUAGCGGUGAAAUGCGUAGAUAUCUGGAGGAAUACCGGUAGCGAAGGCGGCAUCCUGGACCGGCAUUGACGCUGAUGAGCGAAAGCUAGGGGAGCAAACGGG
rnacentral:rRNA from 1 species